rnacentral:rRNA from 1 species
GAUGAACGCUGGCGGCGUGCCUAAUACAUGCAAGUCGAGCGAACAGAUAAGGAGCUUGCUCCUUUGACGUUAGCGGCGGACGGGUGAGUAACACGUGGAUAACCUACCUAUAAGACUGGGAUAACUUCGGGAAACCGGAGCUAAUACCGGAUAACAUAUUGAACCGCAUGGUUCAAUAGUGAAAGGCGGCUUUGCUGUCACUUAUAGAUGGAUCCGCGCCGUAUUAGCUAGUUGGUAAGGUAACGGCUUACCAAGGCAACGAUACGUAGCCGACCUGAGAGGGUGAUCGGCCACACUGGAACUGAGACACGGUCCAGACUCCUACGGGAGGCAGCAGUAGGGAAUCUUCCGCAAUGGGCGAAAGCCUGACGGAGCAACGCCGCGUGAGUGAUGAAGGUCUUCGGAUCGUAAAACUCUGUUAUCAGGGAAGAACAAAUGUGUAAGUAACUGUGCACAUCUUGACGGUACCUGAUCAGAAAGCCACGGCUAACUACGUGCCAGCAGCCGCGGUAAUACGUAGGUGGCAAGCGUUAUCCGGAAUUAUUGGGCGUAAAGCGCGCGUAGGCGGUUUUUUAAGUCUGAUGUGAAAGCCACGGCUCAACCGUGGAGGGUCAUUGGAAACUGGAAAACUUGAGUGCUUUAGAGGAAAGUGGAAUUCCAUGUGUAGCGGUGAAAUGCGCAGAGAUAUGGAGGAACACCAGUGGCGAAGGCGACUUUCUGGUCUGUAACUGACGCUGAUGUGCGAAAGCGUGGGGAUCAAACAGGAUUAGAUACCCUGGUAGUCCACGCCGUAAACGAUGAGUGCUAAGUGUUAGGGGGUUUCCGCCCCUUAGUGCUGCAGCUAACGCAUUAAGCACUCCGCCUGGGGAGUACGACCGCAAGGUUGAAACUCAAAGGAAUUGACGGGGACCCGCACAAGCGGUGGAGCAUGUGGUUUAAUUCGAAGCAACGCGAAGAACCUUACCAAAUCUUGACAUCCUUUGACCACUCUAGAGAUAGAGUUUUCCCCUUCGGAGGACAAAGUGACAGGUGGUGCAUGGUUGUCGUCAGCUCGUGUCGUGAGAUGUUGGGUUAAGUCCCGCAACGAGCGCAACCCUUAAGCUUAGUUGCCAUCAUUAAGUUGGGCACUCUAAGUUGACUGCCGGUGACAAACCGGAGGAAGGUGGGGAUGACGUCAAAUCAUCAUGCCCCUUAUGAUUUGGGCUACACACGUGCUACAAUGGACAAUACAAAGGGCAGCUAAACCGCGAGGUCAAGCAAAUCCCAUAAAGUUGUUCUCAGUUCGGAUUGUAGUCUGCAACUCGACUACAUGAAGCUGGAAUCGCUAGUAAUCGUAGAUCAGCAUGCUACGGUGAAUACGUUCCCGGGUCU